rnacentral:rRNA from 1 species
UACAGAGGAGCCAAGCGUUGUCCGGAUUGACUGGGCGUAAAGCGCGGGCAGGCGGUCUGACAAGUCUGAUGUGAAAUCUCCGGGCUUAACCGGGAGAGGCCAUUGGAAACUGACAGGCUGGAGGGCAGUAGAGGUAGGCGGAAUUCCGGGUGGAGUGGUGAAAUGCGUAGAGAUCCGGAGGAACACCAGAGGCGAAGGCGGCCUACUGGGCUGCACCUGACGCUGAGCCGCGAAAGCCAGGGGAGCGAACGGG